CGCCUGGGGAGUACGGCCGCAAGGUUAAAACUCAAAUGAAUUGACGGGGGCCCGCACAAGCGGUGGAGCAUGUGGUUUAAUUCGAUGCAACGCGAAGAACCUUACCUGGUCUUGACAUCCACAGAACUUUCCAGAGAUGGAUUGGUGCCUUCGGGAACUGUGAGACAGGUGCUGCAUGGCUGUCGUCAGCUCGUGUUGUGAAAUGUUGGGUUAAGUCCCGCAACGAGCGCAACCCUUAUCCUUUGUUGCCAGCGGUCCGGCCGGGAACUCAAAGGAGACUGCCAGUGAUAAACUGGAGGAAGGUGGGGAUGACGUCAAGUCAUCAUGGCCCUUACGACCAGGGCUACACACGUGCUACAAUGGCAUAUACAAAGAGAAGCGACCUCGCGAGAGCAAGCGGACCUCAUAAAGUAUGUCGUAGUCCGG
rnacentral:rRNA from 1 species